rnacentral:misc_RNA from 1 species
UCCUGGUUAACCCAGGCAGUCUCGUUAGAGUUCCCGCCAUUACGCGUUGGCAACUAACGAUAAGGGUUGCGCUCGUUGCUGGACUUAACCAAACACCUCACGGCACGAGCUGACGACAGCCAUGCAGCACCUAUGUAAAGACCCUUUCGAGAAACAUCAUCUCUGAUGUCGUCCUCUACACUUCUAGCCCAGGUAAGGUUCUUCGCGUUGCAUCGAAUUAAACCACAUGCUCCACUGCUUGUGCGGGCCCCCGUCAAUUCUUUUGAGUUUCACCCUUGCGAGCGUACUCCCCAGGCGGUAUACUUAAUGCGUUAGCUCCGGAACAAGGGGGGUUGAGCCCUCUUACUCCUAGUAUACAUCGUUUAAGGCAUGGACUAC